UGGCGGACGGGUGAGUAACGCGUGGGUAACCUGCCUUGUACUGGGGGACGACAGUUAGAAAUGACUGCUAAUACCGCAUAAGCGCACAGUAUCGCAUGAUACGGUGUGAAAAACUCCGGUGGUACAAGAUGGACCCGCGUCUGAUUAGCUAGUUGGUAAGGUAACGGCUUACCAAGGCGACGAUCAGUAGCCGACCUGAGAGGGUGACCGGCCACAUUGGGACUGAGACACGGCCCAA
rnacentral:rRNA from 1 species